UUCUCUCUCGGCUCUUGGAUUUAGGGAUUCAACUAUAGCUCUCCCGUCUCUCCCUUCUGGACGAUCAGCCCAACAGAGUCACUAUCACUCUCAACUCUUUCACAUUUGAUUAGAUUGAACAUGACUGUAUAUAAAUUUUCCUAUCGGAUUCUUUUCCAUUCUCCAAUCUCACUCUUCCUUCUGUACCUGUAUUAGCUUAAGAUGUUGCUGCAUUAGUAAAGCUUCUACUAAUAUGGAACUUCAGAGAGAACUAGAAACUGCAUCUGAUUCUCUAAAGGUGGUGGCGGAUUUAGAGGAAAAAACAGUGGUAGUGACAGUAGAUUUGAUGGAGGAGGUACCACUAAGUUCAUAAAUGAAGAAACUGAAAACGACCCAUUGCUGGAAAAGAAAGAGUUUCAUCUAAAGUUGAUUCAAGUAAGUAUUGAGAUGUUGAUUUUUGUUUGUCCACCAAAUUUUAUUUCAUUUCAAGUAAGUAUUGGGUGUCUAUAACUCUGCUCAGUGAGAUAAAUGAAUUGAGUUAAGAAUGGGUUUCUACUCUAUCAGUUUUUCUUUGUUUCGUUCUCUAUCAAUGAAAAUUUUCAUCUUUUUUUUGGUAAA